UUUUAAAAAAUUAUCUUUAUUUAGGUUUCAGAUUCAGCACAUGUAUCAAAGACUAAUCAACAUAAAGAAGUAAAUAAGACAUUAAUUGGAAGUCUUACAUCUCUCUAAACUCUGACCAAUGUCAAGAUUGCCACUAUUACCAGAACUCCAACAUAGUCAAGUUGUAAACAAGCUAUCAUGAACAACACACAGUGUGCACGGAGAUGCAGAGGCAAAAGACAUGCUAGCACUGGGCUCUCCUCUCUUCCUUGCUGAUGUCUUCCCAUUUGACGGUCCACUUUUGCUUUCCAUGCUAAGUCCCAAAUAAAGUCCAAAGGCUCAAGGUCAACCUGACCAAAAACUCUUCCAGAGGAAUGCAUUCUUAAACUGUUGUGCCUGCAACCUUGUUUUUGCCAGGAUGAAGUUCAGAUCAAGAUGUACAAUACAAUCUCGAUGAUGGUGCAGACCGAGUCGAGAACUGAAGUUGAGCAGUAACCCGAGUUAAGGCAUGAAUGCACACACACACGUGCACACACACAGCGCCCGCGCUAUCACGAACGUAGGAUUCCUUCUACCGCCUCCCGAGAGGCAACCAGGGCUUGGCAGUAAACCACGACUGCUGAGCAUUCUGGAAAAUGCUCCCCAUAAUGUCAUGCUAACAGCUGUGUGUGUAUGUUUAAAAAAAAAAAAAAAAAAAAAGGUAGAAAAAAAAAACAACCACCCAGAAACGAAAACCUAAAAACCCCUUAAUCUCUUACAAUGGCUCUUGAGCAUGGAACUCAUGUAGCAGCGUCAAUGGCUGGCUCUUUAAUAAAUUUGGAAAUAAAAGAUUCUUUUACUAUGUAUUUCUUUGGUAGUUACCACUACAAAGUUGUCAGUGUUGGUUACCUAAAAGACAAGUACUGGACAGAAGAUCAAGUUACACAGAAAUGAUUCUUCUGUACUGGUAAGAGAAAAAUAUUGCGCUCUUGAAGCACAAGUUACGAUGCUUGUUCUCGCCUUAUUGGGCAUCCUCUAUAAGCAAGGCUUCGUGCAGGAAAAGUUCAUGUCUACCUAACAAAGGGCGAUACAUAGUCUAUUUUCCUACAAUUGAACAGUUAACAAAAAUUCACAUUAUCAAUGAUCUCUGGUCAAAUCAGUUAGAAGCCAAUUACAAAGGAGCGGCAGCACUUGGUGUCAAAGCCACAUUCUGGUCGCGCAUUCAUCCCACGGUUGUGGUCAGUAUCUCAGGAGCUCAGAAUUUAAAACUCCCUUCAAUUAACAAAGGAGUAAGUUGAAUUACAUCUUAAAUACUUCCAUCAUCUGCCAAAUUUCUAGAAUUCUGUCCAGAAAUGCCAGCAUGCUUGAUGAGAGAAAGCAAUUCAGAGCCCAGAGAGGUGUCAGGUAUUAGAUAAGUUAAUUUGGUUUUGUAUAAAAGGCAUGGUAAUCUGGCAACAGAGUACUUAUCCUAUUAGCAGCACAGUGGUAGCCAAGGGUCUCUGUCAGCAAGACAGGGAAAGGAAGCUACUGUUGCUCCCGGGACAGCUCCUGAUCUUAGAGGCCUUCCUUCGGGAAGUCGGUCCAGGGUGACCCUGAGCACGUGGGCCGCAGGAAUGGCAGUAACCAAAGUCAGCCCCCGUGAGAAGAGCCCGAGGUAAGUCAGCUUCCCAUGGAUGAAGGGGCUCUUGCCUCCAAGGGCUCGGGGUCUGGAUUUUAUGGGUCCCUGGUGGCUAGACCAUCACCAAGAACGGCCCUGGCAGGUAUCCUGCCCAUGUGUGACAGGCUCCACACAGGGUCAGAAACCACUUUAGAAGGGCAUGAAACAGCACAGACUCAAAAUAGUAGUGUUUGUUCUAUCAAUUCUGAAUGUCGGCAGGGAGAGGCAACUAGAUUUAUGUUGAAAAAGUGCUGUUUGAAGGAGCUGUGUUUUAUUUUGAAAUGAAAUGACUAGGGGAACCAGCACUACAUUUCUGCAAAGUCUGAAAGUCAAGAACCUAUUUCUAGAAGGCAUUUAUCAGGAACGGUUUGCUCACGCCAAGUGCUUUUUCAUUCACCAUAUGGCAAUGUUUUGACUUUUGUGCUUUCGGGAGGUAACUCAAUUGACAGGAAGCAGAGGGAAGCUCAUUACAUUAUGGACUUUCUCAUUUGAGUGCAAGCCACUAUCCCAACAGCAUUGAAUUCUAUCAUCUCGCGAAAGAUUCUUGUAAACAUAGACCAUAUUUCUCCUAUGAGAAAAACCAAGAACUGUACCAUGAAGGCAAAAUUUGUUUGCCUCCUCUCAGAAUUCCUCGGAAUGGCAAUGUACCAGGAGGGACGGCAGGCUGUUGGUGAGAUCCCUGGGUUUGCUAAGACCCCGUCCGAUCGAAUUAAAAAUCUAAAGCCUCAAUAAUUAAAUGCCAAACUUGUUCCCCAUAUCUGAGAACUGUACUAUGAUUAUGUAUAUUACAUACACAUUAUAAAUAAAAUUUAUAUAGACCAAUUGAGGAGUGAAGUUCAGGGGUGAAAGCAGGAAGAGGUGAAAAAUCCUAUUGUUGCUUUUACUCUCGAGUUCUUAAAAUGCUAGUCAAACACUAUUAUCCAACAAGACUUGUUUCAUUCUGUAAUUCUUAAAUAUGCAUUCGAAGGCAAAAAUGGAAGUCUCUAUACUGUACACUAUUAAAUAUCUACAAUGUCACGGUUCCUUAUUUUUAGGAGUGUGUUCAAUAAAGAGCUAGCUAUUAGAGAUGGGUGUCACAAAACAUGGACUCUUAAAAAUUACCGAUAAAUUAAUUUUCAGUUCUCUGAUUAUAUCCAACAGAUACACAUUCUCAUCAUAAAAUAUACAUUCUCUAGUAAGUUAUUUUCGUCCACAGCAUAUAUAAAUAUGCAAACACAGGUGGUAAAAAUCACUUUACUACCAAAGUACAAAACAGUAACUGCUGAAAAGCAAAAAUAAAGAUGUUGCAAGUAUUAAGAAAAGAGUGACUCACAGUGUUCCACUUCCAAGUGAAACCAAAUGAUUUAUUUGUGCUAAAUGAAUGGAAAUAAUGUAUUCAGAGUAUACUUGUUUGUACACUGCACUUGCUUAUACUGGGCAACACAAGUGCUCAUCGAUGCUCAUGUGCUACCGUCUUCUCACCUCUUUUCUUUUCUGCCAAGCAAUAAAGUAUUCUGAGGCCGCUAUGCCAAGAUAUUCCUAUAAUGUUCAUUUCAAAUAGUACUUUCUAAUAGUAUUUUGCACCUUUAAAAUAUUUGUUCAAACUCUAUUUUAGGGGAACACGAAGAACGGGAAGGGGAAGAUAGCUGUUUUUGUUACAAUCACGUUGCCUUCUGCAGCAGAAAUCAAAGAGCGUGUGUUCUAAUUGGCCAUCAGAACCACUGGUGGGCAGGACAGCAUUUAUGGACUGGUGUUAGAGGGGCCGGGUUGGGGAGAUUACCACUAAAGAUAAGGAAAGAAUCACAC
rnacentral:lncRNA from 1 species